UAUUGCAAUUAACUUUGUGUGAAAGUUUGCAAGAUAUGGAUGCUACGACUUCUAUGGAAAUUGAGGUAUCAUCCUGUCGCAAAUUGGAUUUUGACAAGGUAGAUCAAAUUAUCAAUGAUGAGGUUUUCACUCCACCAGUUUUAAAUGUGAUAAAAGAUGUAAACAAAAUUCAUGCAUCGAUUCCUCCUGAACUACUUCCGAAGAUGGGUAUGGAAUUUGAGAGUGAAGAAGAUGCUUAUAAUUUUUACUUAGCGUAUGCAAAGGAAGUUGGUUUUGGAAUCAAAAGAAGUAGCUUCCACAAAGAUAGCAAUGGUAGGCUCGUGGAUAGGGUAUUUUGUUGUAGUGCUGAAGGAAAACGAGGAAAUGAUAAAAGAGAUCUCAAUGUAAGAGCCCCUCGUCCUGAAACACGAUUUAAUUGUUCGGCAAAGAUGAAGGUUAAUAGUAGACAAACUGGCAAAUACAAAUGAGGUGAGCAUGAUAGAAUCUUUACAGUAUCAACAAAAUUAUGGCCAACUAUGCACUUUCAGUUCCAUGAACAUGACUAGCUUGCUCAAGGCACAAGAAUUACAUGGUUUCGGAGGAGCAAAAAUAAAUCAGUUCGAAUUGAAUGACAAAUCUUGUACUAUGGGACAAAAAGUUGGAGCUGAUUGCAAUGAAGAGGUAUGCAAUUGUCCGCAUAGAUUGAGCGAGUGAACAAAAUGUUGACCAGAGGGGUUGGUGCGGAACCCAUUCAGCCACGGAACCCAUUCAGCCACUUUGGUGCAUUAGAAAUCCCGGCAUGUGCAACAUAGUUUGGCCAUAUGCAGGAAGUUGCGCAAUAUUCUGUGUGCAAUAUUCAUUAUGGUUAUCCCCUGAUUCCUCUGUUUUGUAUUACUUUGAGGCUGCUUUGCUAUCUGGAUUUGGGAACUGAUCUUUAGUGCUUGGAUUAUGUCUCUCCGAACUAUAGUCCACCACUAUACUUUAUUACAUAUAUGAACUCCAUAUCUU